UCGGGAUAACUUCAGGAAACUGGGGCUAAUACCGGAUAGGAGCUCCUGCUGCAUGGUGGGGGUUGGAAAGUUUCGGCGGUUGGGGAUGGACUCGCGGCUUAUCAGCUUGUUGGUGGGGUAGUGGCUUACCAAGGCUUUGACGGGUAGCCGGCCUGAGAGGGUGACCGGCCACAUUGGGACUGAGAUACGGCCCAG
rnacentral:rRNA from 1 species